CACACACACAAAAAGUUAAAAAUGGAGUUACCAUAUGACCCAGCAAUUCCACUCCUGGGUAUAUACCCAAGAGAAUUAAAAUAAUAUUUCCAAACAAAAACUUGUACAUGAUUGUUCGUAGCAUUCUUCUUUAAUAGGCAACAAGUAGACACAGUGCAAAUGUCCAUCAGCUGAUGAAUGGAUAAGCACAAUGUGGUGUAUCCUUAUAAUGGAAUAUUAUCCUAUUAUUCAGCAAUAAAAAAGAAUGAAGUACUGAUUCAUGUUGCAACAUGGAUAAACUUUAAAAACAUUAUGCCAAUGUUCUUCUUGUGUAAAAAGCCAGUUGCAAAAGACCAAAUAUUGUAUGACUCCAUUUAUAUUAAAUAUCCACUAUAGGCAAAUCCAUAGACACAGAAAGUAGAUGAGUGGUUGCCAGGUGCUGGGGGUAAGGGAAUGAAGUGAGUGCUAAUGGAGAUGGGGUGUUUCUUGGGGUGAUAAAAAUGUUCUGGAAUUAGUGGUGAUAAUUGCACAACUCUGAAUUUACAAAAACCCGCUGAAUUGUACACUUUUUAAAGGGGUGGAUGGUAAGAUAUGUGAAUUAUAUCUCAAUUUUAAAAGAGGAAAAAUAGUUUUUCAGUUGACUAAGUUGUGCUUUCUGGAAAUAUAUCAUCCACAAAUAAUGAUAAUUCUACCUUCUCCUUUCUAAUUUUUACGCCUCAUAUUGUUUCUCUUGUAACAGCAUCAGCUAUUGUCUCCAGAAAAUGUUGAACAAUUUUUCAUGAAAUUGGUGAUAGUGAACUGACUCUUCUUCUUCUUGAUCAUUUGAGGAAUGUUUCUCCCCUGAGCCAGCUUCUGGGGUGGGUGCACACACACGUGCACACAUUCACACGGUUAUCACAGUAAGAAAAUGUCUGUCUCUAUUUGUCAGGAAUCUGUGGAUAUUUUUCUCUUUGAUCUGUUAAUAUUGUGCAAUAUAUUAACAGAUUUUCUAAUAUUCAACCCUCCUUACAUUCCUGAAAUGUAUCUCACUUGGUUGUGUUGUAUAUUUAUUUUAAUAUUUUGCCAAUUUAGAAAGAUUGAUAUUUAUCUGCCGUAAAUGCAGCAUUGUUUAGAAUGGCCCCAAACUGGAAAUAACCUAGAAGUCUAUAUUAAUAAUGAUCUGUUUGAGGAAAGUGUGGUAGAAUCAUUAAUUGAAUACAAUGCAGACCUUUAAAAAUGAGGAAGAUCUAUAUAUGUUACUAUGGAAAAAUGUCCAAGGUUAUAUGAAAAAAGGUGAUGUGCAAAUGAGUAUGUUUAACAUGAUUCCAUUUGUGUUAAAUAAUGCUAUUAAUAAUAGUAAUAACGUGUGUUACUGUGAUUGUGUGUGCGUAGGAAAUUUCUGGAAGGAUAUACAGUUAACAGUGCUGGGGCAGGAGAGGCGGUCGUACGAAGGGAGGGGACUUACCGUUUUACAUUCUAUCUCGUAAUGUUGGCUUUUUUUCCUUAUAAGCUUAUCUUAUCCUUGUAAUAAAAAAGUUAAUUUUUAAAAAGGUAAAGCAAAACAAAAAUUCCUAAAGGUAAUGAUGAAGGAGAAGAAAGCAUUUUGUGCUGGUUCUUAGGCCACUUUUGGAUAGGCAGCCCUGAUACUGCUAAUCCAUCAAAGAUUUUCCGACCUCCGUCUGACGUUUACUGACCCCCCCCCACUCCGCCCUCUGCUGGAUGUCAGCCAGACGCAGCCCCUUUCGCAGCUCUUUCCACUCGGAGUGGAGAAGCCUGUCCACUGGGUCUCUCUCUGCAGAGCGUUCCAGCGGGGCGUGCCUGAAGAUCUUUACUCCACGCGGACUUUACCCAAAAGGCGAUGGGAAACCACGGAAUAGCUUCUCGGUGGAAGCAGGGUGAUUAGAUGUGUGUUUCGUGUCACCUCUCUGGCUGCAGUGUGCAUCCGGCUGGAGUAGCACAGGACUGGAGGCUGGAAGGCAGUUAGAGUCACCUAGAUCAAGGCUGCUGAAGUAACCUUCUGUCAACAGUUGAAAAUUGGAGUCUACGGCCAUACCACCUUGAACGUGCCUGAUCUCGUCUGAAAAUUGGGAGAAGUGGCAGAUUUGGCUGGAAAGGCAGAUGUUACAGAUAAACUAGCCAAGGUUUUGAUGAGCUUUACAUUCCAGAAUUAAGCUAUGAUUUUUUUCUUCUUCUAACUGUCUUAUAGUUUGCCAUUUUGGAGUGUGUGUGUAGAUAUAUAAAAGUGUGUACACAUACAUACAUUUAAGGAAAAAAGCCUUACUGGUAAUACUCUAACCUUAAGAUACAGGAAAAUUCUAGUUGAUUACAGUAUGUAUGUAGUUUUCGUCCUCUUCUUUUAGUAUGUUACUCCUCUGAAUUUCCCUGAGUUGUAGGGGGUGAGGGAGUAGAUGUAGGAGGGAGAUUGAACAAAACUUCACAGACAUAAAUUUCUUUUCAUAUAGAUGACGACAUGCACAGUUUCUUUUCUACCAUUUAAAAAGGUCAGGGAACACCUUUCAAAGUCAUUUAUAGUGUUCUUCACUGCAUGAUAGAUAAAAUUCAUAUGGUAAUUGGAAGUAAGUCUAACCAUAGUUUUCAUAUCCAUAUUUCAUCUUUUCUUCCUUUAGUGAGCAAGACCUCAGAAUUUCAAUACAAUGCAUGGGGUUUGGGGUCAGGAUUUUAGUGCCUGAAGCCUACCAGUCCCUGCUUUGCAGUCCUGCCCAGGAGGUGGUAACCAUAAGAACAGCCAGUGGGAAGGAAAGUACCACUUAGAACAGCUAGAAGAGCGCCGACUGCAGGACUCCCAGCUACGCUGCGAUGGAACAGCCUCUGUUCCCUUAUUCGCAUCCAUCAUCCCCUGCCUCUAAUAGAGAAAGCCUGGCUCAGGAAAUCCCCAAGUCCAAUUUCCCAUCUUGUUUGGAAGAAGGGAUGACAGGCCUGCCCCCUAAUAGGGCAGGAGAGCCUGCAUAUGGUUAAUACAGCAGCCCUGUUCAUUUGUAAACAUAAACCCAGUGAAUAUCUUGGGCUCACUUCAAUCUGGUUAACAAUUCCUCUUCCCUUAGGAGGGCUGACUAGGAAGGAGGCAGGUAAGGAGUAGAACUUCCUAAAUACUAUUGAUUGAGCCCACGUAACCAUUCUAGAGCCUUCAGUGCCACAGUGUGUGGGUCAUGUUUUAGUCUUCAAUCAAUUUCCAUACUAUACUGUUAAACUGAAGAAAAAUUUCAGUCGUCACCAAACUUUUAAAACAUUACAGGGUGCGCAGGCAUGUUAGGGAAGUGUCUCGGACCUUCCAGAUCUGCUCAGCUGCCAGCUGAAUACCACUGAGUGACUUUGUUGGAGACCAUGUACCGCACAAGAAUCACCCAGCCGAGCCCUGGCCCACCAAAUCACAAGAUGUAACAAAAUGGUGCUUGUUGAGUCACUGAGUUUUUGGGUAACCUUAGGUAGUGAUAACCAGAACAAACGUGUACUGUCCACCAUCCAUCACCUAAACCAAAGAUCGUUUUGCCUUUCUCACAGUUGGUGUUCAGUAUUUAUUGAUAACCCUUUCCAUUUCAGAACCUCCACCACUGUAUCUUAUUUCAUCGUUCGUUUGUGAGAUUUUCUUUUUUGCUAAAACACUGAUCUGCUUAUGACAUUUGAUUACAGGUCAUGCUAUUGGCCCUGCUUCUUGGAAGCUAUUAGUAAUUAAAAGCAUUCCUUCUUCACUUUUAAAAACUGGAAACAUUUCUUCUUCACUUUUAAAUUGCAUAACAACGAGAAGACCUGA